CACCAGAUAAGAUUUUCGGAAACUCUUCAUGUGAUGGAUUUCCUGUAAUUCAAAAUUGUGUUUUUAGUGGUUAAAGGUCCAAACUUACAACCCAAAUUUUGGGGUUCAAAUGCCAGAAAGUUACUGACUGUUUUGGAUAUUAAUGUGUCGUCUAAAUUUGUAUUGAUAAUAAUAUAACUAUGUGGUUUUUAUAUUGGUAGCCUUAGAAUUUAACCUUUUUUUUAAGAUAGUACAAGACUGCACUUUCGUGUCAGGAUCUGGUUCACAAAUGAGAGACGACCCAAACAGGUAAGUGAAGAUCAGGUCAGUUUAUUGACAAUAAACAGUGGAUGGACUGAUGAUCGGUGAACCGGAACUGGCUGGAUGGCAAGUCGAGCAGAUUGACCGGUGGAGUCUGGGUAGGGUGUAGAAACGUCCAAGAACAGUUCCAGAUGUGUCGUCAAGGGUGAUCUUAGCCUCUGUGAUUGUAGCAGGUCCCACCCUGAUGUCAUGAUUUGGAUUUUCCAUUCUUAAGCCAUCUGGAUUUCCAAUGUGCUUCCAAAGCAACCACAGAAUUAAUUGGCAAUGGCUCUAAUUGAUCGAAUGCUCUGGUCAAAACAAAAUCUGCUGAUGAGAUGUCACUGUCGGCCUCAUGGACAUUGAAGGAAAAUAAAUUGAUUUCUCAAAUGAACCAAAACAGGGAUGUUUGAUGUGACCUUUUAACUAGAAUCCAGUAACAUCAUAAUUGAUAUUGGUGUACAUACCAAAAUACUAUUGUAUAUUAAAAUACUCAUUUAUGUCUAAAGAAACUGAGUGCAAUAGAAUGAUUGGCAGUGCAAUUCUAAUCUAUGCCAAGUUGUGCGAUCCUGACUCAGGAUGUUGGUUCUGAUAGUUAGAGACCAGCCCAGUCCCUGGAAACUCUCAAAACACUCGUUUCAGCAUCCGACAAAUGAAAUGUCUGUGAUGGGUUAAUGUGGAUUCAGAGAGGUUAAUUCAGGCUAACCUUUGUUCUUCAAACAAUAAAUUAGGCUUUGAUGAAGUUAUGCUGCGACGGGCCAGACAAAAGCAUGUCAAUCACAUAAAGUGGGAAAGAUCAAUGAGUAAUAGGGACCUCACAAAUCGUACACUAUUUCAGUACAUUUGGGCAGCCCAGU